rnacentral:rRNA from 1 species
CGUAAUAAUAGAAACUAACCAGGAUUCCCUUAGUAACGGCGAGUGAACUGGGAUACCCAAUAUAUACCAUCUGUGCGUACCUCGGUGCGUACAAAUUUUAGCCCGUCGAUACUAUCCUAGCAUAGUACUGGCUUCGGCCGGUAACCUAUCUAUGCGGGAAUUGUAGCAUCGUACAAAAAUAUAUUAUACAACGUAUAUAUACGCAACCCACACUUAUAUAUAUUUUUAUGCGUACACUUACUUUCAUAAACACACAGCGCUCCCGCGUUGGAAAGCAAGUCUAUAUCCUUUUUGGAUAUGCCAUAGAGUGUGACGGCCACGUUUCAACUCUCUACGUAUACGCAUGCGUUAUAUACAUACACUGUAUUUUAUAUAUAACCUGAGUCGAGUUAUUU